ACCAAUGUGCCUGUAAAAAAGGUUGCUUAUAUCUACACAAUCAUUCAUUUAGUACCAUACUAAGAUGUGAUUUCUUCCAUUUUCUCUUUUGUUAGUUUUUUGCACAGGCAUCUUGUGUUAUAAUUAUUUCUUUUUAUAGUAUUUUAAAUUAUUAUUAUUAUAGAGGGAAUUAUUAUAUAUAUAUGAAGGGUUUUUGGUGCGAUAUCAGUAAUAUAAAUUUGUCCCCCUUCACUUUUAAGAGGGUUAUUGUAAAAAAAACUCUAAUAUUUAUCAAUCAUUUCCUUUCUAUGGUGUGUGUGUGUGUGAGAGAGAGAGAGAGAGAUUUAUGUAAUUUUAAUCUAAGAAAGUGGUACAUGUAAGAACUUUUGUUGAGGGAUUAAUAAAGUUCUAUACCUCCU
rnacentral:sRNA from 1 species